CAAUAGCGUAUAUUAAAGUUGUUGCAGUUAAAAAGCUCGUAGUUGGAUUUGUGUGCGCCCGCAAUGUCCUUCUUAGGUACGUUUGUGGGUGUGCAUCCUUGGGUGGAACCUGUGUGGCAUUAGGUUGUCGUGCAGGGGAUGCUCAUCGUUUACUGUGAAAAAAUUAGAGUGUUCAAAGCAGGCUUAUGCCGUUGAAUAUAUUAGCAUGGAAUAAUAAGAUAGGACCUCGGUACUAUUUUGUUGGUUUGCGCACUGAGGUAAUGAUUAACAGGGACAGUUGGGGGUAUUCGUAUUCCAUUGUCAGAGGUGAAAUUCUUGGAUUUCUGGAAGACGAACUACUGCGAAAGCAUUUACCAAGGAUGUUUUCAUUAA
rnacentral:rRNA from 1 species